AUUGAACGCUGGCGGCAUGCCUUACACAUGCAAGUCGAACGGUAACGCGGGGCAACCUGGCGACGAGUGGCGGACGGGUGAGUAAUGCAUCGGAACGUGCCCAGUAGUGGGGGAUAGCCCGGCGAAAGCCGGAUUAAUACCGCAUACGACCUACGGGUGAAAGCGGGGGACCGCAAGGCCUCGCGCUGUUGGAGCGGCCGAUGUCAGAUUAGGUUGUUGGGGGGGUAAAGGCCUACCAAGCCGACGAUCUGUAGCUGGUCUGAGAGGACGACCAGCCACACUGCGACUGAGACACGGCACAGACUCCUACGGGAGGGAGCAGUGGGGAAUUUUGGACAAUGGGGGCAACCCUGAUCCAGCCAUGCCGCGUGCGGGAAGAAGGCCUUCGGGUUGUAAACCGCUUUUGUCGGGGAAGAAAUCUUCCGGGCUAAUACCUCGGGGGGAUGACGGUACCCGAAGAAUAAGCACCGGCUAACUACGUGCCAGCAGCCGCAGUAAUAC
rnacentral:rRNA from 1 species